rnacentral:tRNA from 1 species
UGCCGGGGUGGCGGAACUGGCAGACGCACGGGACUUAAAAUCCCGCGGUUGGUGACAACCGUACCGGUUCGAUUCCGGUCCUCGGCAUAUA